ACGAACGCUGGCGGCGUGCUUAACACAUGCAAGUCGAGCGGUAAGGCCCUUUCGGGGGUACACGAGCGGCGAACGGGUGAGUAAUACGUGGGUGACCUGCCCUCAGCUCUGGGAUAAGCCUGGGAAACUGGGUCUAAUACUGGAUAUGACUCCACGGUGCAUGUCGUGGGGUGGAAAGCCUUGUGCGGCUGAGGAUGGGCCCGCGGCCUAUCAGCUUGUUGGUGGGGUGANGGCCUACCAAGGCGACGACGGGUAGCCGGCCUGAGAGGGCGACCGGCCACACUGGGACUGAGACACGGCCCAGACUCCUACGGGAGGCAGCAGUGGGGAAUCUUGCGCAAUGGGCGAAAGCCUGACGCAGCGACGCCGCGUGAGGGAUGACGGCCUGGUGUAAC
rnacentral:rRNA from 1 species